rnacentral:snRNA from 1 species
AUUGCUUCUCAGCCUUUUGGCUAAGACCAAGUGUAGUAUCUGCUCUUAGCAGUUUAAUAUAAAUGUUAGUUGAGAAGUUACAAUGUGCUAGGCCCUGUGUUAAAUGCUAGAACACAGAAUUAGUU